UACGGAGGGGGCUAGCGUUGCUCGGAAUUACUGGGCGUAAAGGGAGCGUAGGCGGACAUUUAAGUCAGGGGUGAAAUCCCGGGGCUCAACCUCGGAAUUGCCUUUGAUACUGGGUGUCUUGAGUAUGAGAGAGGUAUGUGGAACUCCGAGUGUAGAGGUGAAAUUCGUAGAUAUUCGGAAGAACACCAGUGGCGAAGGCGACAUACUGGCUCAUUACUGACGCUGAGGCUCGAAAGCGUGGGGAGCAAACAGG
rnacentral:rRNA from 1 species